AACAGAUGCAACCUUCAAGAGCGAGGAGAUUCAAGAAACACUGGGCAAGGUGAAGAUCGUGGCCUGCGAUUCCAAGUUGCUGCAGCCUCAACAACCAUAAAAGAACCACCACCUGCCCAAUCUCGAUCCCGUCCAGUUUAGCUCAGUUUCAUGCUAUUAUUGGCGCCACCCAAACUUUCCUAGUUCAUGUGAAUUUGCCCCCUCUGAACUUUGUUUGUGUGAAGUUAAGCCAUCGGCCGUGACACUUGACUAGACUAGAGUACCAUGGCUGCCAACAUGUUAUCCGUACUGAAUAUGGAAUAUGGUUUUGCUGCUUUCUGUUGAUAAUUUCACAUGAAUGACUAGAUAAAAGCGUUGAAUUUGACAUUAAUUCAUAAUCGUGCUCUGGUUUAAGUGACCAAUGAACAAUAACAGCUGUUGUUUAAUAAGUUAUAGUCCAGUGGACUAAGCUACAUUGUUGUAUUUUAGUUAAAUCGUUUUCCGAGAUGAUAAAACAAUUCAAGACAAACUUUGUCAUGAUUCAGGAUCAUUUCAUAAGUAUAUAUCCAGAAAAAUGGAUAUGCAACUGCAGAUGAUGCUGAAGAAUUUUCCCUAUAUUGAUGCUCACAGCGAGAGCAAAAAAAUCAUUCUCCUGUAGCAGUACCCAAAAAAAGGAAAUUAAAAAAAAAGGCUAGUAUUCACAUCCGAGUUCAAGAGAACGUGAACAUGGAUUCAAGGGGCAGCUCUUCACAGUGGAACUUGAGCUCAUUCUGAAACCUCUGCAGCACGAAGUGCUCAUCCUCUGUUAUAAGGGUUGUCACGCCGCAUUCCAACCUGGAGAAAGGUUCUCUCCCAGUUCUUCCAGCACGGUGCAGAUAGUCUGUCGCCGUCUUAGGAAGGUCGAAGUUGUAUAUGUGGCUGGUUUGAGGAAGGUCAAACCCCCUGCUUGCUAUGUCUGUUGAAACCAGCAGGAAUCCUCUUCCCUUGACUUCCUGCAGAUGACACAAAUCUCAGUGUCAAUACAGAGAAUGAAGAUGCUGGGAGAUCAGACAAGGAACUCGGAGAGCACUUACAGAGAACGAGGCAGCUCGAGCGUUGAAGUUCAUAUCUUCUUCCAGCAGCAGCACAUCUAGGCUUCCCUUAUAUGCAUUUCUCAAGAACUCAGCGACGACGGUGGUUGAAGGAGGAUUUCCAGCCUUCUUUGAUCUCUCAGACUAAGAACAUAGGUUCAGAGUUACAAAACAGAAUGCAGAUGUGCAGGUGACACACCAGUUCUUUUUUAUUCAGUUAAGAACUUAAGAUCCAUUCACCGUCAAUAUAACUGCUCAGAACUAGGUGAUGAAUAGGAACUUCUUUGUUGGUGAACAAACCAGUUACUUAUAAAUGUCAGUGUCCAAAGCUUUUAAAAAGGAAGUGACAGAAAAUAUGGGAACUGAAAAUAUGACGAAAUUAUGCACUGGUAGACACUGCCAGUACCUCAGACAACUAAGUCAUCAUGGGCCUGGAUCUUGGUGUUUACAUGAUGGAUGAUAACUGGGGUAUUGAUUUUGCAGACACUUGCCCAGGCAUUAGUAGUAAUUGAAAGGGAAAUAAACAAGCUUGCCAAAGUCAAAUACCAAAUUGGCUCAAAUCAUCACAGAUGUGCAUGGCAGUACAGCAUCACAGCGCAUAACUGUAUCAUGCGUUAUUCUGUAUCAUUCCAUAUAAGCAGAUAGCUAUGGCAAAAUACUACACGGCUAAUUUGAAUUUGCAUCGGACAUAAUAUUGCUGGCCUCUCAUAAGAUCACUUGGCCUAUUGACAAUAAUACUGAGGAAGCACCCCAGAAAAUAGAUGACGAAAUCCCAAGAUACUAGAGAAACUAUAUAAACAUGGUAUGGUAUCAAAAGAACAUAAUGUACACCGGUACCUGUUCAGCAACAAAUAUGAUUCCAGACUUUGGUGCAUCCCUCUCAAGCAAGGAUAGUAAGACAUGCAACCUUUCCUUCUUGGUGCAGAUCUGCACAUUGAUUGUGUUGUCAUAGUCACCAAGAUUCAGACAGACUGAAAAGAAUUCUCAGGAGAAAGGAGGUUGGUUUGAUUGUGGACUUAGUUGUCCAGGAGGCACUAAUUAUGGGAAAGAAGAAAAAACAGGUUGCCUCUAUAUGCAUUGGAUUAGUUGAGAAUUUGGAGAAUGUGACAUGCCUAUAGGUAGGUGCUGUUGAGUAGGUGUCAUGCAUCGCAGAUUAGUUGUCAAGAAGAACAUUAGUAUUACUUUAAACACAAUGAGCCUGUGGGUGGGCAUUGUGGGUAAGUGCCUAUGGUUGAGAGAAACAAAGGAGAAAACUGAGACGUCCUUUGCAUGAGUGAGCUAAAAGAGGAAUUGGAUACAAGGUCAUCAAUCAUUAUAAUGUGAAUUUGAUGUGCUCACCACAUAUUUGUGACACAGGUGCGAAGGCAUGGGCUGUACAGGGUGGACAUGAACAUGAACCACAUCACUCUAUACCAUGUUAAGGGGAAAAAUACAUUAGCCUUCUUUGAAGUACAAAAAUAAACAGCAAUUUGUUCAGUAGAAGUUAGUACAACCUUGGUCCAUUUAUGCUGUACACAGUCGUGCAGAAAGCGAUUGUGCUGAGGGAUCGAUGCGCUUGCAAAUAUGGUUUGACGACUGGAAGCUGCUGAAUAAGAGGUUAAUAUCUUGCGAAGAGAGCUGACUUGCUUUGAUGACCCAAAAAUAAAAUCAACCUAAGAAAACAACAAGGUUAGCCCCCUUGGCAGAUAUAAUUACAGAGCAUCAGCGAGCAGAGCAAACUCUGACAGUAAUUUGAUUCAAGACUUAAGGAAGUGGAAUGAUGAUCUCACCUCAUCGAUAACUAACACUCUCAUGGAUUGAAGGCUGAACGCCCGCCUUUCGACCAUUUGACACAAGCUUGCCACGGUAGCUACAAUUACUGCAGGGGGCUCUGCCUGUGAAUUUAUCGACAGUUCUAUCACAAACACAUGGCAACAGAGAAAAGGAAACCUUAAAUAGCACUACCCUCUACAUGAUGGCAUAAGUGGAUUCCAAUACCAUGUCAUAACCGCCAAUAUCGAAACAAUAUAAACAUACGCUGAAUGCAUAAGAUAGAUCUGGACCUAACCAUUCAAUAGCCACUUCCUAUCAAAAUGGUCCCAGGUAAUCAGGCAUCGACAUAGAUACAAAUGCAGCAAGAGAUGUUCAGUACUAUUUACCUUGACCCAGCUCUUUUGCCUCUUGAGCAUACCGCCAUCAAGCAAAGCCAUGACGGUGCAGGCCUUGGCUGCGAGUAGUCUAGCAACCUUGGUAACCUUGGAGCAGCACAGUUAGAGAAGACACCAGAAUCAGAGAUCAGACGGACAACAACCAGCGCCGGCAGUCAAAUCACCUGCAUGCCGAGCUCCCUUGUGGGGACAACAACCAGCGCUUGCACCGAGGACCUGCUGAAGUCGAUGGCGGAGAAGACGGACAGGAGGUAGGCAAGCGUCUUCCCGGAGCCUGUCUACAGAUCACCGUGAAAUGCGAUAACAGGGCACAGCAGUAUGGCACGACAGGGAACUCUUGGUCUAGUCUAGCAGAGAGACGAGCAAGAAAGGUUAAGGAGGGAGUCACGUCAGGGAGAGGACCACCACCUGCGCGUGGAGAAUGCAAUCCUGGCCGGACAGCAGAAGCGGCAGGGAUUGCUCCUGCACCUCGGUGGGCACGACAUAGCCAACCUCCUCAGCCCUGAAACCGAAUUUCCAAUCUUUCAUCAGUAGUAGUAAAUGAGCUAAUGGCAUGGUGAGGAACUGACGGCUGGUCUGGUUGUGGGGGUUCACCUCUGCAGGACGUGGUCCGGGACGCGGCCGGCGCAGACCUCGCGGAGUGUGGCAGCGGCGGCGACCACGGCGGCGCGCCGUGGGAGGAGGCUGAAGCGGAAGCGCAGAGUGAACGGGGCGAGGUGGGUGCUGGGAGUAGUGGGGAGGAGGGAGCCGGGGGCGAAGGCCGCCGCCACGGCCAUGGCCACGACACGAGAGAGCCGGUCGGUCCCUUUCCUCUUGUCCACCAGCGCCGGCGGCGGGCGGAUAAGAGGAAAACAACAGUAGUGGCUUCAGGUGCUGCUUCGGCCCAAGGUUACUGUAGCAAGCACGGGAGAACACACAGCUAAAGGCAAUGUUGGUGUAUUGAGAAUUUUAUUUUAAAAUUUAUUGCAAAAGUAUUAAUAAGGAUCAAAGUCUCAAAGAGUCCAUGCCCUUGUUUAGUUCACCCCGAAAUUCAAAAAGUUUUUUAAGAUUCCUUGUCACACUAAAUCUUACGGCACAUGAAGCAUUAAACAUAGAAAAAAAUAAAAACUAAUCAUACAGUUUGACUGUAAAUCACGAGACAAAUCUUUUGACCCUAGUUAGCCUAUGAUUGGACAAUAUUUACCACAAACAAACAAAAGUGCAAGUGCUAUAGUAACAAAAUUCAAAAAAAUUUCACAUCUAAACAAGGCCCAGUAGAGACUAAGUUAAAUAAUUAUUGGCCGGACAAAAUUUAAAGCUCGUUGAGCUGGCUCAACGGCUUGUUUUUUUUUUAAGAAAAAUGACUUUCGACUUCACCUCGUUAGGCUCGGCUUGUUAAGCUCAGCAUGAAGUUGGGACUCAAAUAAUUGAGAAGACUUUGAUAAAUAAAAUUAUGCCAAUUUUCAAAAAUAAAAAAAUUGAAAAAAAGUGCAGUUGGCUUGAUAUCCACUCCUUAGAUAGGUUGUUCUUAAGCAUCUCCAACAGUUUAGUAUUUUUUGUUUGUCAUUUGUUGUAGUUUGCCAAUUUACAAAACGAUAUGACAAGUGAAAAAAAGGACAUCUUCAAGUGUUUGACAUAAUUGACUUGGCAAAAACCAAAAUUGUAGAUCUAACCGUAUUUGUCGGGACUUUUCUUCCGCGCCGUAUCUGGUCCCGCGCUUUUGGUCACGCGCGUUUCUUUUUCGCGGCAUUUUCUCGUCGUCGCGCCGCCAGUUCGUGAGCAUCCAGGUCGCCGCUGUUUCUUGGUACCUGUAUCCGAGACGCUACAGGUUGUCAUCGAGGGCUUCCUGCUAUAGAGUCCUUCCUGUCAAAGAGUCCUUCGUCCUGUUGCCGUGGACUGCAGAUCGUCAUCGAUCUCCAAUGUUCGUCACCACGCGCGAAGAGUCCCCCAUGCACGGGAGUAGCGCGGGAGGAGCGCCCGAUCGGCAUUUGCCAAGCGGCCCGCGGCCUUGCAUUUAUGCCAAAUUUUCUCCCUCAAUUGCCAAGUUGCCCAAAUUGCAAAACACAAAUACAAAAUUGUUGAAUACCUCAUUUUCAUAAUUUUGGCAAAUUACAAGAAUGCAAAUCAUAAAUGCAAAACUGUUAAAGAUGCUCUUAGUGGAGAGUUUCACAACGAUAUUUUUAAGAAUACCAUGUUUGAUAAAAUGCAAUGAAAUAUGAUGAAACAAUUCUUCUCAAUGUAUACUUCUUUAAUACUAGUGUUCCAAAGACAUUUAAUUCCACACCACUCAUCAAGAGUUAGAAACCGAGCCUAAUAAAAUUUCUUUUAUUUAUUAAAACAUUAAUUAUAUCGCCAUAAAUGCUUAUGUGACAAUCUAUUAAAUGCGGAUAGAACCUGUAAAAAUCUUGUUUCCGACCUAACUCUAGCAUCUCUCAAUAUGUCAUUGAUCUUGGUGAUUAACUCAGUAGAUGAAGCAUGGAAAAAGGUUUCAUGUGUUUCAUUCCUCCCACCCAAGCGGCUCUUUGCCACAAGCCAAGACAAGACGAGGUCCCAGAUCCAGGUGGAGUGGAGGUAGUAGAGGCAUUGAAGAGCAGUUUCAUCGUGUGUUCUACAGACUACGAGCCUGUCCGCUGUUAAGGUCAGUCUCAAUGGAGGUUUCAUUAGAGUUUCAUGCACAUUAAAUAUGCUGAUGUGGCGCUAUAUUAAUGAAGAGAGAGAUGAUAAGAGUUUCAUGGGAGUAGAGAGAGUUUCAUCCCCAUGAAACUCCUAUGCACUGUUUCCAAAAUAUGGAUGUGUUGGAAACAGUGUCAUGAAACUUCCAUUGAGGAUGGCCUAAUAUCCGCAGAAGCCAGGAGAGAAUUUACGCAAUCAGUUUGUCCAAUGCCCAAGGGCCAAGGGUAUUGAUCCCACAAUCUGAGAGUCCAAACCACUAAUUCUACCAGGGAGUAAGAAUAACUGUUCAGAGUAACUGCUCUUGGGAGCAGGCGGCAAGGCAGCAAGUCUCAAUCAAGGCAACAUUGCGCAUCCUCUCAAAAGAGGGGAAAGAAACACGCCACCAAGCAUACCAUACAUACAUCUCAGUAGUUUUCAGGACCGUACGAGUGAAAUUUUAUAUAUCCAAACAAAACAGUGCCCCCUACCUAUUGUCAACAACUUAAUUAAGACUAGCUAAUGCAAGGUUCAAAUUUCUGACAAACUGAUAGCACGGUCAGCAAAAGAUUGUGGAAUGCUUGUCCAAACGUCUAACUCGCACUAGUAACUUUGGCAUCAACUCCCAAAUGAUAAGAAAAUGAUCUUGUUCAUUGAAACCUGGCUUCUUGCAGUUUUAGGCCUUGUUUAGACCCGAAAAGUUUUUGGAUUUGACACUGUAGCACUUUCGUUUUUAUUUGAUAAACAUUGUUCAAUUAUAAAGUAACAAGGCUUAAAAAAUUAGUCUCGUGAUUUAGACAAACUAUGCAAUUAGUUUUUGCUUUUAUCUAUAUUUAAUGCUUCAUGCAUGUGCCGCAAAAUUCGAUGUGACAGAAAAUCUUGAAAAGUUUUUGGUUUUUAGGGUGAACUAAACCAGGCCUCAGAAUAAAGCUAGAACUUAAGAUGCUCACGCAGAUGAUAUUCUGCAGAUAUUGUCAGUGCACAAGGGAAGCAGCAUCUUCCAAAGAAGAGCCACUCUCCAACUGCUUUCUGGUACCCAUCUACAUCAUGCCUGGCCAAACUGCCGUCAAACCUGGAGGGCUAGACGUCCACUCAUACAAUAAUAUAUAUGAUAUCUAUCUAUCUAUCUAUGUAUCCACCAAGUCUCGUGUUUUCUGCUUCUGCCUCUGUGCAGGAAAUCCCACGUCCGUAUUGGCGAUCGACCCACGUGAAAAGCAUCCAAUUAUUCACUCUGGAAGAGAGAAAAGGUAAAAGAGAAUCAUAUUCAAUCGAACGAGAAUAACUUUGCAUAAAGAAUUGCUUGCAGCAUCUUCAGCCAAAUGUCAAAUCUGCCGGCUAUUCAGCAGUGUUUUUCUCUAAUAAUAAAUCAGCCAACAGUAACAAAACAGCCACAUACAUGCUUAAAAACACAAAGGCUUCUAAGCUGAUUUACAGGGAAAGAUGUGUUGUGGUCCUCAAAUGCUUUCCCUAGUAACACAAAUCCAAGUCCAAGAGCAUUAUAAGGAAAAAUAUUUGACACUAGAAAACAAAUAAAAACAAUACACCAUGUUUUUCUUAUUACUCACAUUUGACCCAAAAAAACAAACUAUAAUCUUCGACCCAGAGCAUAACUUGACGCUUCUCUUAAAAGACAAGAGAAGAAGAAACCUUAUUGGGAACUAACUUUACAAUCAAACAAAGUAAAACCUAGCCGUCCAAAUUAGCUGAACUACUACUAGUAGUAGUAGUAAAGGGAUGACACUUAAGUCAUGUGACACCUAACAAAUUUGAAUGAAGAAAGAGAACAAGGCAAUUCUUCAAAAGAGGAGAAUCGGAUGCUUGAUUGUCUAAAAAAAAGAGUAAAUAUCCAUUGUGCCUAUAAAAGAAGGCACGAAAACAUCACAAUUGCAUACCAACCUAGCAAUCACCACUUGCAUUUUCUCAAUACCUUAAGCAAGGACCAAUGUCUCAAGCCCAGCCCCUUCGUUUCCAGGCCCAGCGGAAACAUGUCAAGUUCCAGGAUAGCCAAGCCAAUGCUAUGAAGGAACCAGGAACCAGUGGGUAUGGCUAUGGGAUGAAAGAUGACAAGAAUAAGGAUGUGGAUACAAUAGCUUCGGACUUCAUCAAGCUUAAGCACAGGGCUUGGGCGCUCCAGAAGAGCACAACCAUGUACCAACCUUCUACUUAAAGGUGUCGCUAGUUCAAGAAGUCGGUACUAUAUACUUAUGCUUGUGUCUAUAUAGUCUACAGGUCCUAGUUUAAAUAAUAGAUGCUGCUUGCAGCCUUGGAUAUUUGCGGAGUGAAGUUAUCAUGGCAUUGUUCAUAGAAUACAAAUAACAAAGUAAUGUAUUAUGCGGAGAUGUGUAAUUAUGUGGCAAUAUUAUUUGCAAAAAUGAUGUAUGGAGUACCUUUAUAUAUGAUACUGAGGCUUUUGUCAUACUGCUAGUUGAUUAGCUUCUAUUUGGAAAUUGAAAAAGUAAAGCAUCGAGCAUACAUAUUCUUCUAAUUAUUAGCCAACUCCACGAUCAGAUAAGAAAAACAAGUUGAAGAGUCUUGACAUGCUCAUAUGAGUACCCCAAUAAAUCAAGAUAUCAUUGAAGUAUAAAACAUCUCCCAAGGUUCUGGACAUGCGGAG
rnacentral:lncRNA from 1 species